CAAGGCUGAAACUCCAAAGGAACUGACGGGGGCCCGCACAACGGUGGAGCAUGUGGUUAAUUCCGAAGCAACGCGAAGAACCUUACCAGGUCUGACAUCCCACUGACCGGUGUAGAGAUACGCUUUUCCCUUCGGGGACAGUGGUGACAGGUGGUGCAUGGUUGUCGUCAGCUCGUGUCGUGAGAUGUUGGGUUAAGUCCCGCAACGAGCGCAACCCUUGAUCUUAGUUGCCAGCAUUCAGUUGGGCACUCUAAGGUGACUGCCGGUGACAAACCGGAGGAAGGUGGGGAUGACGUCAAAUCAUCAUGCCCCUUAUGACCUGGGCUUCACACGUGCUACAAUGGACGGUACAAAGGGCUGCAACCCCGCGAGGGCAAGCCAAUCCCAGAAAACCGUUCUCAGUUCGGAUUGCAGGCUGCAACUCGCCUGCAUGAAGCCGGAAUCGCUAGUAAUCGUGGAUCAGCAUGCCACGGUGAAUACGUUCCCGGGCCUUGUGCACACCGCCCGUCACACCACGAGAGUUUGUAACACCCGAAGUCGGUGAGGUAACCCUUGUGGAGCCAGCCGCCGAAGGUGGGACAGAUCGAUUGGGGUCGAAGUCGUAACAAGGUAGCCGUAUCGGAAGGUGCGGCUGGAUCACCUCCUA
rnacentral:rRNA from 1 species